UACGAAGGGGGCUAGCGUUGCUCGGAAUUACUGGGCGUAAAGCGCGCGUAGGCGGGUCGUUAAGUCGGGGGUGAAAUCCUGGAGCUCAACUCCAGAACUGCCUUCGAUACUGGCGAUCUUGAGUCCGGGAGAGGUGAGUGGAACUCCGAGUGUAGAGGUGAAAUUCGUAGAUAUUCGGAAGAACACCAGUGGCGAAGGCGGCUCACUGGCCCGGUACUGACGCUGAGGUGCGAAAGCGUGGGGAGCAAACAGG
rnacentral:rRNA from 1 species